rnacentral:rRNA from 1 species
AGGACGAACGCUGGCGGCGUGCCUAACACAUGCAAGUUGAGCGACGAACCGGGGCUUGCCCCGGGGCAAAGCAGCGAACGGGUGAGUAACACGUGGAUAACGUACCCCGAUAACCGGGACAACCCGAGGAAACUCGAGCUAAAUACCGGAUGUUCUUACUACACAUCAGUGAAGUAAGUAAAGGAAGCUUCGGCCUCCGUAUUGGGAGCGGUCCGCGGCCCAUUAGCUAGUUGGUGAGGUAACGGCUCACCAAGGCAACGAUGGGUAGCUGGUCUGAGAGGACGAUCAGCCACACUGGGACUGAGACACGGCCCAGACUCCUACGGGAGGCAGCAGUGGGGAAUCUUGCGCAAUGCGCGAAAGCGUGACGCAGCAACGCCGCGUGGGGGAGAAGGUUUUCGGAUUGUAAACCCCUUUCAGGAAGGACGAAGGUUCGGCAGUGAAUAGCUGACCGGACUGACGGUACUUCCACAAGAAGGUCCGGCUAACUACGUGACCAGCAGCCGC